rnacentral:rRNA from 1 species
UACGUAGGCAGCGAGCGUUGUUCGGAGUUACUGGGCGUAAAGGGUGCGUAGGUGGCCUGGCAAGUUAUUAGUGGUAAAUCGAGGCUCAACCUCGUGGAAACUAGUAAUACUGUUCGGCUUGAGUGCAGGAGAGGUUAACGGAACUCUAUGUGGAGGGGUAAAAUCCAUAGAUAUAUGGAUGAACAUCAAUAACGGCGAAGGCAGUUAACUAUUCUGUUACUGACACUGAGGCACGAAAGCGUGGGGAGCAAAACGG